AUACGGAGGGUGCGAGCGUUAAUCGGAAUUACUGGGCGUAAAGCGUACGUAGGCGGUCGGUUAAGUUAGAUGUGAAAGCCCCGGGCUUAACCUGGGAACUGCAUUUAAAACUGGCGAACUAGAGUUGAGUAGAGGGGAGUGGAAUUUCAGGUGUAGCGGUGAAAUGCGUAGAGAUCUGAAGGAACACCAGUGGCGAAGGCGACUCCCUGGACUCGAACUGACGCUGAGGUACGAAAGCGUGGGUAGCAAACGGGAUUAGAAACCCCAGUAGUCC
rnacentral:rRNA from 1 species